rnacentral:tRNA from 1 species
GGAGAGAUGUCAGAGUGGUCUAUCGUGCUACCUUGGAAAGGUAGUGUUGAGUCAAAUCAACCGGGAGUUCGAAUCUCCCUCUCUCCA